rnacentral:rRNA from 2 species
UUAUCGGAGAGUUUGAUCCUGGCUCAGGACGAACGCUGGCGGCGUGCCUAAUACAUGCAAGUCGAGCGGACAGAUGGGAGCUUGCUCCCUGAUGUUAGCGGCGGACGGGUGAGUAACACG